AUGUUCCUGUUUAGCAUUUAAUCCUGACAACCAACAACCAUGUGAAACAGAUAGCACAUUAGUUAUCUAAUAUCUGCCUCAUUUUGGAGGGUUAAGUAUCUUGCCCUCUAUUUGUUACAUGUCACACAUGUAACAAAUGGCAGAACUAGAAUUUUAGUUUAGAAUUCUAGAACUAGAAUUUUAGAAAUGUGUGCAAUUCCAAAUUUGCACAAGCCACUCAACAAAGGAAAAAUCAUGGAAGAGUAUGACAGUGGAAUACCCUAAACAGAAUGAGAAGAAUGGGACUAACAAGUUUGGAAGAACAGGGCCAGGUGCUUCUUCACAUUCAACAGUCUGGCCUUCUUAAAAUUACUCUACGGACCCAUCAGUUGAGACUGGAAUGGCAUUUGCUUGAAGCUUCCAUAUAAGAAAGAGUGAGGGCCGAGACUUACCAAGAGGCCAGUGGGACAGCUUCUGGGGCGUCCGGUGACCUCACUGUCACCCCGGGGUGAACCUCCUGAAGGGGCCGAUGACCUGGUGGUUCCUCCACGACUUGAUGUUCUCUGCCAGCAGGAGCUCCAAGCGGCCAUGGCUGUGCCGUGUCAGUGCCUCAGCAGCAUCCUCAUACACCAGCAAGAAAAAGUGCCCACUUCUGUAUUGCUGCUCUGUAAAUGUGUCUGUUCUCUAGAUUUUCUCUUGUACCAGUUUCAACAUCUCCCAGUUCCUUCAUGAGUUAAAUAAAAUCAACAUGUGUUCAUUUUUA